GACGAACGCUGGCGGCGUGCUUAACACAUGCAAGUCGAACGCUGAAGCACCAGCUUGCUGGCUUGGAUGAGUGGCGAACGGGUGAGUAUUACGUGAGUAACCUGCCCUUGACUCUGGGAUAAGCCCGGGAAACUGGGGCGAAUACUGGAUGCUACAUGUCACCGCAUGGUGGUGUAUGGAAAGGGUUUGCUUGUCUUGCAUGGGUUCACGGCCUAUCAGCUUGUUAGUGAGUUAAUGGCUCACCAAGGUGACGAGGGGUAGCCGGCCAGAGAGAGUGAGCGGCCACACUGAGUCUGAGACACGGCACAGGUUCCUACGGGAGGCAGCAGUGGGGAAUCUUGAACAAUGGGCGAAAGCCUGAUGCAGAGACGCCGCGUGAGGGAUGACGGCCUUAGGGUUGUAAACCUCAUUCAGCAGGGAAGAAGCAACAAGUGACGGUACCUACAGAAGAAGCGCCGGCUAACUACGUG
rnacentral:rRNA from 1 species